AGAGACAGCAGUCGCCACGGGAAAACCAGCACCUCGAGUGGUCAGGAGGUUUAUUGGGCCUAAAGCAUCCGUAGCCGGUUGCAUAAGUUUUCGGUUAAAUCUAUGCGCUUAACGUAUAGGCCGCCGAAAAUACUGUGCAGCUAGGGAGUGGGAGAGGUACACGGUACUCGAUAGGAAGGGGUAAAAUCCUUUGAUCUAUUGAUGACACCUGUGGCGAAGGCGGUGUACCAGAACACGUUCGACGGUAAGGGAUGAAAGCUGGGGGAGCAAACCGGAUUAGAGACCCCUGUAGUCCCUGUCUCUUAUACC
rnacentral:rRNA from 1 species